UACACAUUGCAGUAGGCAACAAUGGAGGACGUGAGUGAAUUUCUGCGCGCCAGAGGGGUCCAAGAGGAAACCAUAUUGCAAAUGGAAGAACAAAAGAUUAAAAGCAACGUUAUUGUCUGAUGUACAAUUCAACUGCCAUAUUACAACCCCUCCUACGAAUACCAAAUUGUCCUCUUUAUAUUCUGCAUUACAUCAGUUUGCUGCGCUGCUCACAACAAUGCCUGCAGAGCCGGAUUUGGAUGACUUAAUUAAACUAUACUUCAGACUUUCCCUAAGUAAUAAAUAAAUACUUGCUAUUUUGGCACACACUAAUCACAUUGUAAUUAGUGUCCGAACAUUAAAGAGAAUUUGUAAAAGACUUAACCUGUUCAGGAGGAAGAACCAGUCUGACUUGGAGGAAGUGCUAGCUUUUGUACAGCAUGAGAUCAUGACUAAUGGACAGAUGCAGGGAUACCGUUGGCUUCAUCUCCGUGCAAUUCAACAGGGCCUUGUUGUGUCACAAGAUAGCAUAAAACGCAUCAUCAAACUGGUUGAUCCACAAGGUGUGGAAUUAAGACGAGCCCACCGCUUGAGAAGACGUCAGUACAGAUGCAGAGGGCCAAAUGCACUUUGGCACAUGGAUGGUUAUGAUAAACUAAAGCCCUAUGGCAUUGCCAUCAACGGCUGUAUAGAUGGUUUUAGCCGCUAUGUGUUAUGGAUGGAAGCCUAUAUCACAAACAGUGAUCCUAAAGUAGUUGCAAGUUACUUUAUCAAAACAGUUUCAGGUAUAGGUGGAUGUCCAGAGAGGAUUCGUGCAGACAGGGGCACGGAAAAUGUUUCUGUUGAAGAAAUGCAGAUGUUUUUGCGAAGGAACCACCCAGACAGUUUUGCUGGGGAGAGAAGUUUCCUUUAUGGAAGAAGUUCUGGAUGAACCUGUUCCAAACUCUCCAGGAAGAUGGCCACUUCACAGGAGACUUUUUGGACAAAAGUCUUAUCCAAUUCUGUUACCUUAAUCUUGUUCAGGAUGAACUUGAUGAAGUGGUCAACACCUGGAAUUCCCACAAAAUCAGGAUUUUGAAACCAAGAUCAACUGAUGACACAGCAUCUGGUCGGCCAGUGAUUAUGUACUCAUUCCCAGAGUUGCACAGUGCUGAGGAUAGACUCAAACCUAUUGCCAUGGAGGAGGUCAAUUUGUGUAUGUUAGAGUGUACUCCCAAAGGCCAGUUUCCGUGCGAUGAAACUGUUUUUGAACUGUGUUGUCUACUCAUGGCGGAAAACGGAUGGGAUGAUCCAGCAGAUCCAUUUGCUGCGGCUGAUCUAUACAUCCUGUUACGAGAUGAAAUACGACGACAAGUAUUUGAUUAAUGGUACAUGUAGCGUACAUGUCAUUAUGCAAAACACAAAAUACUGUUCAGGACAAA